rnacentral:rRNA from 1 species
UACAGAGGGUGCAAGCGUUAAUCGGAAUUACUGGGCGUAAAGCGUGCGCAGACGGUUGCGUAAGUCAGAUGUGAAAGCCCCGGGCUCAACCUGGGAAUUGCAUUUGAGACUGCGUAGCUAGGGUGCGGAAGAGGGAAGCGGAAUUUCCGGUGUAGCGGUGAAAUGCGUAGAUAUCGGAAGGAACACCAGUGGCGAAAGCGGCUUCCUGGUCCAGCACCGACGUUCAGGCACGAAA